rnacentral:rRNA from 1 species
UUGGAGGGCAAGUCUGGUGCCAGCAGCCGCGGUAAUUCCAGCUCCAAUAGCGUAUAUUAAAGUUGUUGCAGUUAAGAAGCUCGUAGUUGAAUUUCGGGGUCAGUAGGUUGGUCAUGCCACUGGUAUGUACUGGUCUCACUGAUUCCUCCUUCCUGAUGAGCUGUAAUGCCAUUAAUUUGGUGUUGCGGGGAAUCUGGACUGUUACUUUGAAAAAAUUAGAGUGUUUAAAGCAGGCUAACGCCUGAAUACAUUAGCAUGGAAUAAUGAAAUAGGACGUUCGAUCCUAUUUUGUUGGUUUCUAGGAUUGACGUAAUGAUUAAUAGGGAUAGUUGGGGGCAUUAGUAUUCAAUUGUCAGAGGUGAAACUCUUGGAUUUAUUGAAGACUAACUACUGCGAAAGCAUUUGCCAAGGAUGUUUUCAUUAAUCAAGAACGAAGGUUAGGGGAUCGAAGACGAUCAGAUACCGUCGUAGUCUUAACCAUAAACUAUGCCGACUAGGGAUCGGAUGAUGUUAAUUUUUUAAUGACUCAUUCGGCGCCUUACGGGAAAC